CCUACGGGUGGCAGCAGUGAGGAAUAUUGGUCAAUGGGCGUAAGCCUGAACCAGCCAAGUCGCGUGAGGGAUGAAGGUUCUAUGGAUCGUAAACCUCUUUUAUAAGGGAAUAAAGUGUGGGACGUGUCCUGUUUUGUAUGUACCUUAUGAAUAAGGAUCGGCUAACUCCGUGCCAGCAGCCGCGGUAAUACGGAGGAUCCGAGCGUUAUCCGGAUUUAUUGGGUUUAAAGGGUGCGUAGGCGGCCUUUUAAGUCAGCGGUGAAAGUCUGUGGCUCAACCAUAGAAUUGCCGUUGAAACUGGCAGUCUCGAGUUGGAGAGAAGUAUGCGGAAUGCGCGGUGUAGCGGUGAAAUGCAUAGAUAUCGCGCAGAACUCCGAUUGCGAAGGCAGCAUGCCGGCUCCACACUGACGCUGAGGCACGAAAGCGUGGGUAUCGAACAGGAUUAGAUACCCCGGUAGUC
rnacentral:rRNA from 1 species